GACGAACGCUGGCGGCGUGCUUAACACAUGCAAGUCGAACGGAAAGGCCCUGCUUUUGUGGGGUGCUCGAGUGGCGAACGGGUGAGUAACACGUGAGUAACCUGCCCUUGACUUUGGGAUAACUUCAGGAAACUGGGGCUAAUACCGGAUAGGAGCUCCUGCUGCAUGGUGGGGGUUGGAAAGUUUCGGCGGUUGGGGAUGGACUCGCGGCUUAUCAGCUUGUUGGUGGGGUAGUGGCUUACCAAGGCUUUGACGGGUAGCCGGCCUGAGAGGGUGACCGGCCACAUUGGGACUGAGAUACGGCCCAGACUCCUACGGGAGGCAGCAGUGGGGAAUAUUGCACAAUGGACGGAAGCAUGAUGCAGCAACGCCGCGUGCGGGAUAACGGCCUUCGGGUUGUAAACCGCUUUCGCCUGUGACGAAGCGUGAGUGACGGUAAUGGGUAAAGAAGCACCGGCUAACUACGUG
rnacentral:rRNA from 1 species